AUAUAUAUAUAUUUCUGUAAAAUAUAAAUAACACAAAGGCACAAGUUUUGUAUCGAUUCAUCUUCUAAACAAUAUCCGAUCUACCAUAAAGGAGGAAAAGAUUUGCAAAUUGAGUUCUCGCCGACAAUACGUUCCCAGAGGGGAACUCUCGAACGUGUUCCCGAUGACGGGCGAUCGACUCACCAGGGUUCCCCCGGGUGACCCUGCGAAACGAUGGGCGGCUGCGGGUUGCGUUGCGCAGGGUCAGCAGCGAGAGUUUGAACCGAAGGGCGGGAAUCUUGCCGUGAUGCCCCCAUUGCCAUGAGGAUAAAUAAUGCCAUGGCCCAUUCCCAUGCACGUCGUGAUUUGCUUAUGCUGUGUAGUAGUUGUAGUCUACUCUACAGCGCCAUAGCCAUGUAGAAUUUGAGCUUUCCUUCUGCGUUCAUGAGAUUUUAUUCUUAUUUUUGUUCAAAGUGAGGCGGUUCUAGCUUCUGUGAAACAAAUAGGAAAAAAUAUCCACUCCUCUUUCGGUCUCAUUUUAAUUGAGAAUGGAAGCUAGCGAUUCUCCUUCACAGAAAAUGGCCGUGGUUGGGACCUUUUGGCAGCAGCUGCUCGGAGCCACAAGCGAGGGUCGUUCUGGAGACCCGCGUCUCGAUGAAUAAACAAAAAAUAUUCUUCUGCAAGUGGCUCCCUGUUUCCAUCACGUACAUGAAUUUAUUGUGCGUUGGAGUCAAGCCAGAGAUCGAGGACAAGUUGAUAGUAGUGCAUUUUUACCGGCACUUGCGCAGUUGAAGAAAACUGCAGAACACGAGCUUUGCAAUAUAAGUUGUGGUGUUCCGCUUAAACUGACAGAGAACCUUGAUGCCGGCGAGUGAAUCAAGAGCAGGACAUGUCAAAGACGUAGGAACACUUACUAGACUCCGCAUGCUUGGGUUAAUCUUGAAUUUCUCAGAGCUACAUUCAAGCUCUUAGACGUCAACGGGGGAUUCAACGAGGACUGUCUUUCAGCAAGCGUUGAAGAUGAACUUGGAUAUAAACUUAGUGUGGUAAAACUUCUUCCUUGCGACUUCAAAUUGCUUUGCAUACCUGCUUAAACAUAUUGAAUGCACGUUUUAAAAUAUUGGAGUAAUGUGGUUUUAACUUCCAUCCAGAAAGAGGAACCCGAGAUGAGCAUUUCAAGAACCUUUGCACUGAAAAGCGCUGGGGGUGUGAAAGGAUAUAACUUCGAAGUUUGUCCCUCGCGAUUGAAAGAAUACGUUCCUUGUAUUGAUAAUGUUGCUGCUAUCAAGGAGUUGCAGUCAGUGAGCCGGGGGGAGAAUUGGGAAAGACAUUGCCCCACGCUCACAGAACGCAUGUGCUGCUUAAUUGCAGCGCCAAUUACGUACAAAGUUCCAAUCAGAUGGCCCAAGAGCCGGGACGAGGUAUGGUACAGUAAUGUUCCACACAAGCAACUAGUCGCAGACAAAGGUGGGCAGUACUGGAUAAGGCUUGAAAAGGACAGGUUCAUUUUUCCAGGAUGUGGAACUCAAUUUGCACACGGUGCCAAUCAAUAUCUUGACCAAAUUAGCAAAAUGAGACCUAUUAUUGAAUAUGGACGCCGUACUCGUGUCGUCCUGGACAUUCGCUGUGGUGUAGCAAGUUUUGGAGCUAGCCUCUUUGACCGAGAUGUUAUCACCCUGUCCAUUGCACCCAAGGAUGUUCAUGAAAAUCAGAUACAGUUUGCUUUGGAACGCGGCGUGCCAGCAAUGAUUGCUAUUUUGGCAACUCGCCGACUUCCUUAUCCUAGUCAGGUUUUCGAUUUGAUACAUUGCUCUCGCUGUCGAAUCAAUUGGACUCGAGAUGAUGGAAUUCUGCUGAUAGGGGUGAAUCGUUUGCUCCAAGCCGGCGCAUACUUUAUUUGGUCGGCUCCGCCUGUCUAUAAGAAUGAAGAAAAACAAAAGAAUAUUUGGAAAGGAAUUGAGAGCCUGACUAGUCGUCUUUGUUGGAAACAAGUUGGGAAAGAAGGGCAAGUUGCCGUGUGGCGCAAACCUUUGAACGAUUCCUGUUAUAUUGAUCGACCAAUUGAUACUGGAAAGCCUUCUGCGACGAAAAGGAUGAUUCAGACAAUGUAUGGUAGAGGCUCAAACCUUCAAGGAAUCGCUUUUCUUAUAUUCUUUUUAGAUUUUUACUUUCUAUAAUUUUAUUUAUUUUAACACCUAUCACCAGAUUUCCUGAAGGUGCACAGAGAACAUCUUGUAGAUUUUGCAAGUGGGGGAAAAUGUCACGCUAAUCAGCGAACUCUUUAUCGACCAAAGCUGUUUUGACCUGAAACUUUGCAUAAUAUGCUUCUUGUACCGUUGUUUGCACAAACAUUUCGUUGAUAUCGUGACGAAGACUCCAGAGUAAAUUGCAGUAGAUCCAAAGAACUGUUGGUACGUUCCACUUAGACCCUGUAUGUCUUUCCUGCCUGAAAGCUGAACUACUUCGGAUGUCCUUGAAUGGCCGAUGAGGUUGUCCGCACCUUCUAGAAUUCAUAGCAUUUCUAUGAAUGCUAGGUUGGCUCGGCAUCAGGUACUAAAAGGAGAUAGAAGAUACUGGUAUGUUAUAAUGAAAGGCUACCUGCGAAGUUUAGGGCUCCGCAAAGAAGA